UGGGAGGAACCUCCUGCAAGGCUCAGCCAGGCAGUUCUUUUCCCUGGCAGAGGUGGAUAUGGCACUGGGAAAAGCAGUUGGACCUACAUUGAUCUGCCAGUCAUCCUGCUCCAUUUGGAUUGAUAGAACUGCAGAAAAAAAGCUUUUGUUUAAUUGGGAAAAUAUUGUAUUUUUCCUUUAGGAGAGAACUGAGGUAUGAGGGAUGUUCUUCCUGCAAUAAAAUGACACUGGCAGGUGAAGUCCUGACA
rnacentral:lncRNA from 1 species